CCUACGGGUGGCAGCAGUGAGGAAUAUUGGUCAAUGGACGAGAGUCUGAACCAGCCAAGUAGCGUGAAGGAUGACUGCCCUAUGGGUUGUAAACUUCUUUUAUAUGGGAAUAAAACGUUCCACGUGUGGGAUUUUGUAUGUACCCUAUGAAUAAGGAUCGGCUAACUCCGUGCCAGCAGCCGCGGUAAUACGGAGGAUCCGAGCGUUAUCCGGAUUUAUUGGGUUUAAAGGGUGCGUAGGUGGAUUGUUAAGUCAGUUGUGAAAGUUUGCGGCUCAACCGUAAAAUUGCAGUUGAAACUGGCAGUCUUGAGUAGAGUAGAGGUGGGCGGAAUUCGUGGUGUAGCGGUGAAAUGCUUAGAUAUCACGAAGAACUCCGAUUGCGAAGGCAGUUCACUGGACUGCAACUGACACUGAGGCUCGAAAGUGUGGGUAUCAAACAGGAUUAGAUACCCGGGUAGUC
rnacentral:rRNA from 1 species